rnacentral:piRNA from 1 species
UAUCGCGCCUUGGAAUGGAUA